GUGUCAGCCGCCGCGGUAAUACGGAGGAUGCGAGCGUUAUCCGGAUUUAUUGGGUUUAAAGGGUGCGUAGGCGGACUUAUAAGUCAGUGGUGAAAACCUGCAGCUUAACUGUAGAACUGCCAUUGAUACUGUUAGUCUUGAGUGUGGUCAAGGUAGGCGGAAUGUGUAAUGUAGCGGUGAAAUGCUUAGAUAUUACACAGAACACCGAUUGCGAAGGCAGCUUGCUGGACCGUUACUGACGCUGAUGCACGAAAGCGUGGGGAGCAAACAGGAUUAGAUACCCUGGUAGUCCACGCCGUAAACGAUGAUCACUCGCUGUUGGCGAUAUACAGUCAGUGGCUAAGCAAAAGCAUUAAGUGAUCCACCUGGGGAGUACGGCCGCAAGGCUGAAACUUAAAGGAAUUGACGGGG
rnacentral:rRNA from 1 species